rnacentral:misc_RNA from 1 species
UCCAAUAUUCCGUAAUCCGUUUAGUCCGCAUCGUUCAUCACGAUGCGCCUGUAGCCGAUUACGUGCUGAUUUGUUUGUCGGGCUUCCUUCCUAUAAAUACAAAACAUUACUUUUUUCGCCAUUCUAAUGUUAAUAGAAUUUUUUAGAGUAACUAAAUCUCUACAGGGAGCAAAAACUGUCAAAUACUGUCGCGUUCUCUGUUCUAAAGCACGACAAGUUAUUUCUUCGAUGGUGGCGGUCUUGUAGCUUGCGGUACGAACAGCAUCACACACCACGAAUACGUACACACACGCACACACCACGAAGUCGAUAUCACAGGGAAUACAUCGUACUACAUGAACGAGUCGUUAGUUAUAAGAUUACACGACACUGAUAUUAGUGGACGGCGAUAUUAAAAAAAAGAAAUUCCACACAGUACGUACACUUCUCGUUGCGUUCGACCUCAGCGUAUGGAUCGUUCCAAACAGAAAGUAUGCCCAACACAAUAUAUUGAGAAAAGGGAAGACAGUGUAAAUAUCUAAGGCAUCGAACAGUCGAGAAAGGGAAGCCGUGUAUAACGUCAACGUCAUUGCGUGUAUGGGAACACGUAUCGCUCUUUCUUUCUAUAUAUACAGGCCUCAACAAUUCUCCUAGAGCACUCACCUUCCCGCAACUGGCUGGAGGCUGUAGAGUUACGCGUGCGGAUACAACCGAUUCACUGAACUGUACGGGAUAAACACUGGAGUAAAUGCGUUUCUGAGACGUCAGAGGCGCCGUGACACCCAGCAAAAACGCGUAUACGAAGAGAAGAGCGAUCACUAUCCACACGCACCACAACCCCCAGCAUAUCACUUGAGUAUAAGCCAGUUUACGACUUAAACAAACGGCGAAGUCCUCAUUAAAUUCCCGAAUUUUUUAGGAGUUUCUAUGUCGAGGAAGAUACAUCGAAACGAGGAUGCAGGCACGUUCAGUCUCAUGCGACGGAAGAAAUUUUUAACCCUCGUGUGUGUAUAUUGAAAGACGUUCCACUAGGAUGCUCUUCCCCCACUCGUGGUCCACUAGCGCGCUAAACUGGCACACUACUCGUUUGCUCUUGUCGACGGAGAUGGUCGAUCAAUCCGUGGAGGCUCGUGCAAGGGAAAAGAUCGUGGAUCACUGGCGCGAAAUGGUGUCGUCGUCGUCUACCGACGCGACGCGUCACCAGCAUUACCUAUGCUGGUGAUAACGAUGAUAGUAUAUGCAUAGAAGCGUAGUAUCGCACUGUCACGAGGUACCGUUAGGUUAUAAGAGAUCCGUUGACCGCGCUUCUCUUUCCCCUGCUCAGAGAGCUCUGGUCUAUUAAUAAAAGGCAGCACUGCGCUCGCCACUAACCGUCCAAUCGACUGCGAGAAGAAUACAUUGACGCACUGGGCAGCUUCGUUUCGUAACACACGAUGAACAUAACUUAUUAGGAAGCAAUGAAGACCCUACAUUAUGAGCACAGUCGAGUGCAACUAGGCUCCCUUUAAAUAUGGAAAAAGAAGAAAGUGUCUCAACAUCUUGUACACAUCCAUCCCUCUACUUACAUAGCCAAAGCUACAUUGUACAACAUGGUGCAACCUAGACUACCUUCAGCUAAAUGAAACUGUGGAAUAUUUAGGUUAUUCCUUUUUAGACUCCCUGAGCUUUAAGUACCUUUUGGAUUCAAUAUUCUAUCUAGCAUCUCAGUAGAUUUUAUGUCCUCCCGAAAUCGAAACUCAAGUGGUAAGAAAGUUCUCCUCCUACACUUAUUCUUAGGCAAAAGAGGUCCACGUUGCACUCGACUAUACAGGUAUAGAAGACGCGUGCUUUUCUGGCCACGUCCGAGGCAACCGCGAUGCAUUCAGCACCACGCGGAUGACUUAUUAAUAAUAGAACGUGUCCAAGGAACGAAGCGAAAAAGAAUGCAAUAUAUUUUAAGUGCCAAAGACGUUGCUAAUGAAAUAUUUUUUCGACAGGCAAUUUGAUGAGAUCGAAACUCUAUCUAACCCUGGCAGAGGAGGAAAUAACUAAACGAUAUCUGAAGAUAACCGUGCUGACGCUGAUGCACCAAUUCUACGAAAUUUGAUACACCUGCCCGUACAUAUUUUGCAAUAGUGGGUUGGCUAUCUCGUACGGACCGUGGAUCGAGAAGGAAGAAAUCAUCGUUGUCGCUGGCCUACGACAAAGCGAUCCUCUUCGCGGUUUAAAGUUACCAACGAGCAACGCCAUUCAUGUAUGCCAGCUUUCAAGAGGAUGGAGUACGCGUACCGUACACUGGAUAUUUAGAUACAAGCACACGCACACGUGUCGUUGUAGGCGAGAUCAUUACGGCACACGCGCUGGAUUGACAGGAUUCCAGGGAGAAAGUCACUUCUCAUCGUGCGCGGCACAAAGGACAUUCUACCGAGGUCAAGGUCUCCGGCUGCUCGAUACAACUUUAAUCGGAAUCGAUUACCGUGUACUAUUUCUCUGAUACAUUUCACUCGCUACCGAAGUUGGGUCGCAACUCGAUCAGACACUUCUUGAAUGAGUCUACAAUCAAAUAGUAGCUGACGAUUUUAGGUCUCCUAUUCUUGUUACAUUGCCACGAGUGAAAAUAAAAUUUACAAUAUAUAAGUUAGCUAAACUGUUAGCCUUCUGACACUCACUGGCAAUACGGGUUUAUAUUAUCGUUCCCUACAUUUCAGGACCUCCUGACCCUAAACUCGUUCAAAAAGCCAAUGGUCGAGUCACGACCUAUUCUAGUCAAAGGUGAUAACACCAUAACUUUACAUAUUUUUAUUUUACGUUCUUAGAGCAGACAGAAAAAAAGAACAAUGGAGAGACCUCGACUAUAGGGGGCAAAUGCAUAGACAAGAAUCCUGUGUAACUAGUUCUCGAGUUACCAGUUCAGGUCACUAUGUGCGACCUAUUUGCCGUCGACCUCGACCUUCGCUGGUAGGGUAUAACAUCAGUCACCUAGGCGAUAGAAACAGGGACUUUAUGCGUUCGUAAUUGGAUCAUUGUGACACGGACAAAAGUAAUUGGCGCUUUGUGAAGGGUGUUGAGCGAAUACACGCGCAGGGGUACCUGUUGCCCACUACGGAUAUUUAUAACGCGAACAACCAGGGGGCAGCAUGCGAACAUCUUGUAACCAUUAUACGGUCACCUCGUGUUCACCGAGAAAUGCGAUUGGCACGAGAAUGAUCCGCAGCUCAACGGUAAAAGGAAAAGGCGAUCGACGACAAAGGAGAAUCCAUUUGUGUCGUGUGGCUCAUCCAACCACCAUCGUGCCUCGCAACGACUGGUUUCGCCUUAACGCUUUACCGACCGAGUUAUAAUUAGCAAUUUCAAGAAUCGCUGGUCGAGCAAGCUAUUCCUGGCAUUUUAGAAAUUUCUCUGUACCAUAAACGGGUAUUUAUCAAAAGCGUGUACAGCGUGGCUCUCCUUGAAUAUUCAAGUAUACGCUCCAACUGUACAUCUAGCAAACUCAAAGCUGUUUCGACGACGAAAGGUAACUAUGAUCGCAUCCAACAGAUGUCAGUAUACAAAUGGCAAACAACUCGUUAAAUGUAUCAUAGAUUUUAGAUGAUCACAUUCCAAGAAGUAGAUGUUAACGAGAUGGAAUUGUUACACGAUUGGUAGCGAAGAUUAAGAAACACAAAGAAGAUAUUGCGAUGAACAAUGUGACACUUAUCAGGGUGUCGACGGGUCUUCGUGGUCACCGAUCCCCCGCCUUUUACACCCCUUUUCUCGGGGAU